rnacentral:siRNA from 1 species
UGCAAAGCCUAAACCUGCUGC